UUUCAUCUCUGAAAUGCAUAUGUUUUAGCACCAUUUGUAUUUCAGAGAUGGAGGG
rnacentral:pre_miRNA from 1 species